GUGGAGAGUCUCUCGUACACCGUUCCUCGCGUUCCUCCCCCGAAUCGGAUACCCAGCGCUCUCUUCAACCCCUCCCAAGAAAGGUUCUUGGUUUUCUCUCGCCAGAAUGGGAACCAACUUCCGGCGUAGCCAUCCAUGCUAAUAAGGCCAAUUCCAACUUCUCCUCCUCCGCCACCUUCUGGACUUCGAAAAACUUCUCCGCUCGGCCGAUCCAUACCCACGGUUCGCCCCCCUAAAAAACAGGUAAUUCGACUCGCUUCCUCCACUAGCUCACCCCUCCUUGGUUACCUUCUCCCCCAUUUCCUCCUCCGUCGUUUGGACCACCACCAUUAUCGUUCACCAACGACUGACUCUCCCCCUGUCGCUGUCCUUGGUUAAUGGGUAUACGUUCUCCCAUCGCAUCGCUUGGACGUCCUAGCGUAUCGCCGCCGUAUCAGCCUUUGUCUCAGCGAUUGCCACUUCCAUCGCCUCUAAGUGCCCUUCGACCACCACCAUUUUUCCCUCCAUCUCCACGCGCAAAAAAUCUCUGAUAUUGAUCCGGGAGGUCGGACCAAAUGUUAGGUUCCUAAAUUGGGAACCUAAUUUCAAGACUCACUUCCUCUCCAAGAAACACAGAAAGAAGGAGAAAUCUAUAUGUUAUUCACAAGUAUAGUAUCUGUACAAUCAAACGUAGAGGCAUAACCCUUUUCCAUAGGUAUAAACCCGUAAGCAACUAAGGAAUCAAUAAUAUCCCGCAAUCCCUUAUACUCAGCCUCUAUUUAUACAAUCUUACAAUCUCACCAAAACUGUCCUAAACCGUUAGUUUGUUAUAUUCAGUUCCUCCUAUUUCUCCUCUCAUAAACUAACCAUCCUUUCUUAUUCUUAUCCCUAUCAGAUAGGUACUACAGAAAAUCACUGACAUGGACGCAACACAUAGAAGCUGUUAUUGGAGUAGCAAAAGGCAUCCAAUAUUUGCAUGCAGGAAUUGUUCCUGGUGUAUAUUCAAACAAUCUCAAAAUCACUGAUGUUUUACUUGACCAAAAUUUUGUUGCAAAAAUCAAAAUUUAUGACCUGCCUUUAUUAUCUCUCAUGAGGAAGGUUGGACAAGGUAAUCCUUCUAGAGAAUUCAAAAGUCCUAGCACUAACAAAAAGUGAGUGAGGGAAAUUUAACUUGGUUUUGAGCUAUAUGUACUCAGCUUCUGUUAAUGGAAAAGAGGAUUCAUCUUGCUUUAUUUCUCUACGUGCAUGAAAAAAAGUCACGUGAUGCUGAUGUGAAAAUAAUUAUGAAAGAGAUUGAUUCAAGACAUGUUGUUGUAGUGUAAAACAAGAAGAUGAGUCUGAUGUACAUGACUUUGGAGUAAUCUUGCUGGAACUCAUUCUAGGAAGGACAAUAAAAUCAAGGAAGUGGACACUUUAAAGGAUCUGGUAAUGAAGGAGAUUUUGGUUUAUUCAAUAUUUUUCAGUUUUACUUUCUUUUUAAACCCUUUAAACCUUCAAAAUUAGAGGACUUUGGUAUGAUCCAGUAGACAUCCUGAUAAGUGUUGGAAAUCUUUUACUAGAAUAAACUGGAGAGAUUGACUACCUUUGAGGUAUGAGUUCAUACAAAUGAUUCCUGAUCCAGCAUAAAACCUUAAAAGUUUAUGUUUAUAUGUCUUGUUCUUCUUAUAUACCACUCAACUUUCUUAUUUGUACUCAAUGUAAGACUUUCAACUUAUACUUAGAUUACUAAGAUGAAUGUGGUGCUAAGUCAUGAAACAAAAUAGUAUAUUUCCACAUGAUCUCACAGAUAUUAAUCAAAUGUAAAAGAAAAAACAAUCACACCAAGCAGGGAGGAAAAUUUAAGAUAUAAAAUAGUUAUGAACAGAAAAGGUAUUUUUUUUUGAAUAAGCAGAGUUCAGACUUACAAUCUCAUGCCCGAAAGGUAUCAAAAUAAAUGAUUAAAUUGUAAAAUUAUAGCAAGUUCCAUUAACAAUAUCAAUUUAAUAUUUAUAAACAAGCUUAUGUGUGCUUCCGAGUAGUAUGAAUUUAUCAUAUUUGAUUGCAUUUGAAUCAUUGCUACAAAUAUAGGAAAAAACAAUGCUAUUCAGCCUUAACAUGUGCUAAAUUGACAACUUUACUUUACACCUUGUUAAUAUGCUUGAUUUAAUGUUGCUCUUUCUCAAUACCUGAAGGAUAGUACAUGAAGGGUUAAAAGCAUAAUUGACUUUAGUACUUUUCAUUAAUGCACUUUUAUGAUUUUAUUUCCACUUUGGAUCAUGAGAUAGUUGCAAGGAAGCAUAACAACUGAUGGUGAAGCUAGGAGAAGCAUUAUAGAUCCAGCAGUUCGCAAGGUGUGCUUAGAUCAAUCGUUGAAGACAAUGAUGGAAAUUUGUGUGAGGUGCCUAGUCAAAGAACCAGCAAAGAGACCCUCUAAUGAGGAUGUUUUGUGGAAUCUACAAUUUGCAGCUCAAGUCCAAGAUGCAUGGGUUGGAGACUCUCAAAGUGGCAGUGAUGACUCACUCAUCUAUACGAAUGACCUUCCAUUAGUGUCAAUACAAAGGUUUUCACUUUUUUGGUUUUGAUAUGUGGGCCUCAAAGGUUCAUGUUUAGUUCUUUGCACAAGGUGAGUUUGCAUUUUGCAGUGUACAACAUCAAAAUAGUGUAAGUUCUUGUUGUAACAAUUUUUCCCAUCAUUAUAAUCUAUUUUUUCUUCACAUUU